UGGCCUCUUUUAUCACCCUUACCACUCAAUGGAGACAUAACUGCGGGGGAUGCAAUCCUUUGAGACUGGAUCUACUAUACACAACUAUAAGGACCUCACCACAGCAUGGCUUGAUGAGAGGUGCAUAGGUCCAUGCCCGGGAUCCGAACCUGCAAACCCUGCGUGCUGCCGAAGUGGAGCUCGUGAACUUAACCAUUAUGCCACCAGGCCGGCCCCCAUUGCAAUGGUUUUUAAUUUUAUUUCUCAUCCUGUUUUCUUAGUUAUCUUCUUCAAGCACCCAUAUGGAGGGUUAACAUUUUCUCUAUGAAACUAUUUGCUAUGGCAGUAGAAUCAGGGCCUUGCAGCGUCGCAGCGCGUCCAGCAGAUGGCGCCGCAGCUGAAUUUUCUCAAGCUGCUCUCUCGCCUGUAGAAGAGUCUGGAAUAAACAGGAAAGGGAUUUUUUUUUUUUUUAAGCUCUAAUUGUCAACAUAUAUUGCCUAUUUUGUCGAGUCAUUGGCUCUUUUUAUUUGACUAAGUUGAAAUGCAUUAGAGAUAUUUAAAAAGUCAGUGGUUUCGAAAUCCCAAAUACAUGUUAUUUUACGAUUUCCAUUCUUUCAAAGGACCCCAGAAGCAAGUUUUCAAGCAGCAUAAACAGUCACAAGAGCAUAGUGGUUCAGAAACGUUAGCAGACAGCGCUGGGUGAAAAAGGCUGCCUCAUACAACACCAGAAGG